rnacentral:misc_RNA from 1 species
UAUUCUUUACAUUGAGGGGAUUCACUCAUUCUGAAGAUUCUUCAAUCGAAGAGAUUUGCGCUUGUGAUCAGUCAAACUGACUUCAAUAUUUAAUAGACUUCAAAUAGACUCUUAAGCAACUAAUUCGCAAUAUUUGGCUAUAACACCAGAGUGUUUUAGACUAGAUGUCAUUAUUUUAACUGAUUGAACUCGUCAAAAGAAUCACACAAGAGAAGCUUCAUGAUUUCUUGAAGUCCUCAAUGACAACAUGCGCAGCAUUGCGUCCUGGGGCGCCCAUUACUCCACCACCGGGAUGUGUCCCGCUGCCACACAAGUAUAGGCCUUCAAUUGGAGUCCGAUAAUUUGACCAUCCUUUCACUGGCCGCAUUAAAAACAGAGAAUCUAAUCCCAUGGAUCCGUGGAAUAUAUUGCCUCCUGUCAAACCAAUUUCUCUUUCGAGGUCUGGAGGAGUCAACAUAUCAUACCCGAUAAUUGAUGAGCUAAAUCCAGGAGCAUAUUCAUCUAUCAUGCUAAAGCAUCUCUGAGCGAAUGAUUCUCUAUAUACAGGAUUUUCCCAGCUGCCAUCAGAGGGUUUAUAAGGUGUGUACUGGAUGAAUAAACCAAUCACAUGCUUUCCAGAUGGAGAUAUUGUCUUGUCAAAGACAGUGGGAAUUGUCAUCUCAAUUAUGGGCCGUUGAGAUGGUAAGCCAUUUUCAGCAUCCUGUGCAGCACUGUGCAUCUCUUCUAUGCUCUCUGGCCCUAUGUGAAUGGUACCACCAUGCUGUGGACCAGCAUCUGGAUGACUUAAAUUACAGCAUUGGAACUGUGGCAAUCUGUCAACGGCCAAAUUGAUUUUUGUAGUAGCAGAGCGAUAAUCAGAGCACUUGAUAGCAUUCUGAAAAUCACGAGGAAGCACAUCAUCUGGCACAAGAUCCAUGAAAGUUUUGAAUGGUGUUGCAUUCGAUAAAACAACAGAAGAAUGCAAUAUGGUCCCAUCAGCCAGCAAUACCCCAUGCACUCUGCCCGUGUCUUCAAUCAUCAAUUUCGAGACUUUGGCAUUUGUCAAUAUGGUUGCACCAGCCUCCUUUGCAGCAGCAGCUAUAGCCGAUGACACAGUGCCCAUUCCCCCUUCAACAUACGACCAAAUACCACGAUCACCAUCAGAUUCUCCCAUCACGUGAUGUAGCAAUACAUAUCCACUUCCAGGCGUAUGAACACUUGCCGUGGUCCCUAUCACUGCAUCAGUUGCAAGAGUUACUUUCAGAACAUCUGCCUCAAACCAGUUAUUCAAAACCUUCGAAGCUGGAGCGAGUAAAAGGUCCAUCAAGUCCACUAGGUCCUUUUGUCCCAAGUGGAGUGCUCGACGGAGACAAUUAGCCCAAAACGCUGAAUUACGCAAUUUGUG